rnacentral:piRNA from 1 species
CUGAAUGUAUGUAUGUGCUUGAUGACAGC